rnacentral:rRNA from 1 species
UGGGGAAUAUUGGACAAUGGGCGAAAGCCUGAUCCAGCAAUGCCGCGUGAGUGAUGAAGGCCCUAGGGUUGUAAAGCUCUUUUACCAGGGAUGAUAAUGACAGUACCUGGAGAAUAAGCUCCGGCUAACUCCGUGCCAGCAGCCGCGGUAAUACGGAGGGAGCUAGCGUUGUUCGGAUAUACUGGGCGUAAAGCGCACGUAGGCGGCGCCGCAAGUCAGGGGUGAAAUCCCGGAGCUCAACUCCGGAACUGCCCUUGAAACUGCAGUGCUAGAAUCCUGGAGAGGCGAGUGGAAUUCCGAGUGUAGAGGUGAAAUUCGUAGAUAUUCGGAAGAACACCAGUGGCGAAGGCGACUCGCUGGACAGGUAUUGACGCUGAGGUGCGAAAGCGUGGGGAGCAAACA